AGUGAACGCUGGCGGUAGGCCUAACACAUGCCAGUCGAACGGCAGCACAGUAAGAGCUUGCUCUUACGGGUGGCGAGUGGCGGACGGGUGAGGAAUACAUCGGAAUCUACUUUUUCGUGGGGGAUAACGUAGGGAAACUUACGCUAAUACCGCAUACGACCUACGGGUGAAAGCAGGGGAUCUUCGGACCUUGCGCGAUUGAAUGAGCCGAUGUCGGAUUAGCUUGUUGGCGGGGUAAAGGCCCACCAAGGCGACGAUCCGUAGCUGGUCUGAGAGGAUGAUCAGCCACACUGGAACUGAGACACGGUCCAGACUCCUACGGGAGGCAGCAGUGGGGAAUAUUGGACAAUGGGCGCAAGCCUGAUCCAGCCAUACCGCGUGGGUGAAGAAGGCCUUCGGGUUGUAAAGCCCUUUUGUUGGGAAAGAAAAGCAGCAGGUUAAUACCCCGCUGUUCUGACGGUACCCAAAGAAUAAGCACCGGCUAACUUCGUG
rnacentral:rRNA from 1 species